GAACCUUGUUGCUAGGGACCGGGCGGUUUGCGGCAACCGUGGGCACUGCUGAAUUUGAAUUGAGGGGCGAGGGAAAAGUUUUCCUCAGGUGUGGUGGGGAGAGGGAGGCGGAUGCCGGGAAACCGUAGGGACGCGGUCAGAAAGGCGACGGGCUGUCGGAGUUGGAAAGGUAAAGUUGGAGGCUCGGCGGCGUCCUGCCUCCGCGCUGGCCACACCCGCCGCGGCUGCCCGGGGCAGGGAGGGAUCUGGCUGAUUCUCCCUGUACCCUGUGCCCUCGGAGCUGCCCCUCCGAGCGCCCAGAGGUCCCCGCCUGCCUGCUUCCUGGAGGCAGGGCUACCAUCAGUCCCACGCCUCGCGUGUCCGCCCCCCGCACCCCGGGGCCAAGGAAAGGGAUCGCGGUCUGGACUCCCCGGGGAGUUCCCUUGAUGAGGGGAAGGGCAGGUUUGGGGACGGCGAGGACACGCGGCGACCGGAGAGAGGCUACCUGACCCGCGCAGCCCGGACUCCCUUCCCUUCCCUUCCAGGGACGCCUGGUUUCCCCCCAAGCGAACCGGGAUGGGAAGUGACUUCAAUGAGAUUGAACUUCAGCUGGAUUGAAAGAGAGGCUAGAAGUUCCGCUUGCCAGCAGCCUCCUUAGUAGAGCGGAAUGAGUAAUACCCACACGGUGCUUGUCUCACUUCCCCAUCCGCACCCGGCCCUCACCUGCUGUCACCUCGGCCUCCCACACCCGGUCCGCGCUCCCCGCCCUCUUCCUCGCGUAGAACCGUGGGAUCCUAGGUGGCAGGACUCAGAGCUAAGGUAUCCACAGGCCAUGAAUUCCUUCCUAAAUGAGCGGUCAUCGCCGUGCAGGACCUUAAGGCAAGAAGCAUCGGCUGACAGAUGUGAUCUCUGAACCUGAUAGAUUGCUGAUUUUAUCUUAUUUUAUCCUUGACUUGGUACAAGUUUUGGGAUUUCUGAAAAGACCAUACAGAUAACCACAAAUAUCAAGAAAGUCGUCUUCAGUAUUAAGUAGAAUUUAGAUUUAGGUUUCCUUCCUGCUUCCCACCUCCUUCGAAUAAGGAAACGUCUUUGGGACCAACUUUAUGGAAUAAAUAAGCUGAGCUGUAUUUCAAGUAAUAUAGUUAUAAAUUAACAAUGUAGCAGUUAUUGAUAGAGAAAUUGAGAAAACUGAAACGUGACCGGAGUAUUGGAAAUAACGUAGUACAUCACCUAGCACAAUGACACAUAGUAGGUGCUCAAUAAAUUUAUGCUUAUAAUUUUUGUCACUUCUAUGGCAGGAUUUUUUUAUUAGGUUAAAAUUAUCUUUUAAACACCUUCCGGAAUUUUAGAAUAUUCAUUAAUAAUGUCUUCAAACCUUUCAACUGAAAUAAAUUUACAGCUGAAGUCUGAUGAUUUAAAGUUAGAAAGUUUAAUCUUGAAUAUAAAUGAACAUUUUCUCUCCCACAUUUUCUUGGGCAUUUUGAGAAGUAAAUGCGUUAUUUAUUGGUCCAUGAAAUGUGACUGUAAAUAUUCUUUGCUAUACAUUAUGUCUAUAUAUCUGCAUUCAUCCUCAAUGCCAAAACUAGAAUCAUUAGUCUUAAUGAUCAUUUUAAGUACAGGCAGUCCUCGCUUUCCUUGAUACCAUGUUAACCGAAACUUGUGUAUGUCAACACGGUGUCCUUGCUUUGCUUGGUUAAGUGUGAGUUCUUCCUCCCUUUUUUUAAGAGUUGUACAAUGUUUUUCAGUCGCCUACCGAAUCAGGUCAUAGACUAUGGAAUUGACCCCACCCCACCAACAUUUUUACAGCUACCCUGAUUUCUGACCAGAAAGGAAAAAAAAACUUUCCAGCUCUAUCACACAUUUUACCUACUCUUAAACUUAGGAGGUAUUACAAAUAGCAUUUUCUCAUGUUCUCUUUCUGGCCUGUACCUCCCUGCUAAGCUUCCUUCAGUGUUCAUCCUCACCUCAUAGAGAGAUGAAGUGAAGAGACAAACAGAAGUCAUUUUCUUCCUUACUUUAGUGGUUUCUGGUUUAGUUAGUUUGGGCCAAACUGUGGACAAGUACCUUUUCAGGUAACUUUUUUUUCUUAUUUCUAUGUCCUCAACACCUAGUGGAGUACGUAGCCAAUAGUAGAUGCUUAAUAAACAUUUCUUAAAUUAAUAUUGUUGACCUUUUCUGACCCUGUUCUUGACAGUAAGGUACAUAAUCUGCCUUCAUCCCUUUAGUCCUUAGGAACAGAUAAAGUCAUGGAUAUGAAAGUGAUCACUGUCAUUAAUAUCCACAUUAAAAUUGCUCUUGAUUUUAGUUUCUCCAUAAUCAUUUUCCCUAAACAAUGAACUCUGUUCACCUUUUUUUUUAAAAUAUGCACAGUGAAUAUUACUGGUAGCCCAAAUCUUCUAACAUAAAAUUUCCAUUUUGUAAAAGCUUCUGAUAAGCAUAUAUGUUAUGAAUUGAAUGUUUGAUUAUUAUACUUUAAUAUUCUUGAAAAUAUUGAUACCUGGACUGGAAAGAAAACAGACAAAAGUAAAUCUCAGAAUAAAUUACUGCUUUAAACAUGA
rnacentral:lncRNA from 10 species